rfam:Dipodomys ordii contig_58577, whole genome shotgun sequence.
GGGAAGGUGGCUCAGUGAUAGAGCGCUUGCUUCACAUGCAUGAGGCCCUGAAUUCGAUUCCUCAGCACCCCA